UUCAAAAUAUACUGCCCAACACCAAGUGUCAGCUUGAGGUGGGGUGGGCUGGAGGUAUGGCUGCGAGGUAGCUCCAACCAUACAUACAUUGCUUUGAGCCCAUCUGUGUGUUCUGGGGAG